UACGUAGGGUGCGAGCGUUAAUCGGAAUUACUGGGCGUAAAGCGUGCGAAGGCGGUUUUGUAAGCCAGAUGUGAAAUCCCCGGGCUUAACCUGGGAAUGGCAUUUGGGACUGCAAGGCUUGAGUGCGGCAGAGGAGACUGGAAUUCCUGGUGUAGCAGUGAAAUGCGUAGAUAUCAGGAGGAACACCGAUGGCGAAGGCAGGUCUCUGGGCUGACACUGACGCUCAUGCACGAAAGCGUGGGGAGCAAACAGG
rnacentral:rRNA from 1 species